ACUGACCUUAUUUCAACCAUAUUUCAACGUUGAAAGUUGGUCAUGUGCUGGAUGUUUUUCAACCAUUCAGCUUUAAACGUUGAAUCAACGUUGUUUCAACGUUGAAACCACAACUGACCUUAUUUCAACCAUAUUUCAACAUUGAAAGUUGGUCAUGUGCUGGAUGUUUUUCAACCAUUCAGCUUUAAACGUUGAAUCAACGUUGUUUCAACGUUGAAACCACAACUGACCUUAUUUCAACCAUAUUUCAACGUUGAAGGUCGGUCAUGUGCCGGCUGGGUAGCGAGUCAGUCAGUCAGUCAAUAAAACGAAAAAUGACCGUUAAAUUUUAAAUUCUGCGAUCGCGCGACUCUCUGUGGAAGACAGGUGAAAGCGGGUGCUGGAGAACCGCGUGCAGAUCAGAAAGCUAUUGAAUGAGCUUUUUUGUUAUUUGACUCAAUCAGACUUUGUUGAUACUUUAUUCACUUUGAAUCAACAACUCUCAACUAAAUGCUCACUCGUGUCUCUGCUAAUCACAUUCUGGUUUUGUUCUCGUGAUAUCACUAUACUGCAAAUUUCAAGGUAGGCAUAUACAGUAUGCCCAGCAAGCAAUAGCCGUCAUUUCAACGUCUGGGUUAAAUAUAGACCAGAUAUAGUCCGGCUAUGUGUAACCCACUUUUAGCCCAAAUAACAUUUAAUCUGGAUAAAUGUAUUUUUUUUGCAAAAUAACUUGUGAGAUGUAUGAUAUUCCAUCAUGUACGCAGAGUCUAACGUGAUUACAAGUUGUUUGGUUUACUUUAUUUUACAUGUUAUAUGUGUAGGCUGUGCGUAGCCACGAUUUAGCUCGUAUUCAGACCCGGCUAUUGUAGCCCACUUUUUGUCAAAACUGAUUAAUUGUAUUUUUUUGCCAGGCAGUGCAUGAAAUGGUUAAUAUUCAAUCAUGUUCGCAUUGGUAUGAUAUCAAGGCUCAAUACGUCAUUUCACGGCAUGGUAGAUCACGAUUUAGCUCCGAAUUGGACGGGCUAUAUGCGGUCUGCUUUAGCCCACCUGGCGAAAUUAUUGCAAUCUGGGCUCAGAUAUAGACCAGCGACCUAGAAUAUUAGUCUUUGAAAUGUUUUCGCUUACACAGCUUAAUAUAUAUUUUCUGUCAAACAUUCAUACACAAUCUACGAUAAAAAUAUCUAAUCAAAUGCAAUUGCAUUUCCCAACCGCUAGAUGGCACAAUUGAAACACUACUGAGACAUGUCUACUGGAACUAAUGCCAUUGCGUGACUAGAUCACUUAAGCCAAAUCUCGCGAUAAACAUUUCCGCCAUUUUAUUUUACACGAGGCAGCUGUCGGAGUGCAACGGGUGAGCAACAGUCUGAGUGAAAACCUUCACAUUUCUACUUCGAUCUUAAGAAAGCCAUACAGGUUUGGAACCAAGUGAAAACGCAGUGAUGACCAGCUUUCCAUCAGCUACGGAAUGUGAAAUAAAAAAUGCUAUUUCUAAUCAUUUCAAACAAGCACCAGGGAGGGCAGGGGGUGGGGGUUAUGGAUCUAAAGUAAACAGUUAAUUCUUAAAAAUUAAUUGUUUUACAUAUUUUUCCAAUGUUUUAUUUGUUCAUUUUUAUGUUUGAAUGUUGUCCAAGUUGUUGUUGUCUAUAUAAUUGUUCAAAAUAAAUCCCUUUAUAUUCAAUUAGUUUGGAUGGAUUUUAAUUUAUGAGAACCUGUUAUAUUUGAGUGAAAAGAAUCCUUAUGCCUCUUUUUGUUGUCUAUUACAUGUAUAUGUAGUGUAAUGGAUGACUAGUCUAUUCUUGGGCUAUGGUUAGACGUCUAUUAGAUUUUCACUGACAGCCCAAAAUCAGCCUUGUUUUAGCCUAGACCCAUAUUGCCUGUCUAUUAGACGUAUGUAGUUGUUUAGCGGUCUAAUUGAUGACUAGUCUAUUCUUGGGCUAUGUUUAGACGUCUAUUGGACGUAUAAAUAUAGUCGUUCAAUAGCUGUCUGAUUGUCUAUUCUUGGGCUAUGGUUAGACAUCUAUUAGACGUAUAUAUGUAGUCAUUUAAUAGCUGUCUAUUCUUGGGGUAUGUUUAGACGUCUAUUAGAUUUUCACUGACAGCCCAAAAUUAGCCUCGAUUUAGCCUAGACGUCUCGGCUGUGUUUAGACGGCUAUUAGACGUCUAUUAGACGCAAAAUUGCUUGCUGGGUGG